CUAAAGGUUCAGAGGAUGAACUAAAAAAGGCCCUCUCUUGAAUGGUUCCAAACACUGCAAAAUCUAUUCUAUUAACAAAAGAAAUGGGGGGGGGGGCAGUUUAAUCAAAGCAGUGAUGGGAAAUACAGGUCACAUCAAAAUUGUAUUAAUAUCAAGAGACUGAAAAUAAUUGUAUGAAGAAAACUAUUGAAGAGAGCAUGAGGGGAAAGCUUUGAUGAAAACAACAAGUAAGCAUGAAAUAAUAAUUCAUGGUGUAUGUAACUACUGAGUGAUUUGCUAACUAAAAUCUUCCAUUAUCUAGGAAGAAGCAUUGGUCAAGCCAUUGGUCUAUAAAGAUGUGAAGUCCAAUAUAGCAUGCUGCAUAUUGCAAGAACCAUUAGCUGGAUGUGCUAAGCUGCUUCUUUGCAAUGUCUGAUAUGAAAACCUUUGGUGGAGACAUGUGACAGCCUUAUUUUAUGCACUUCCUCUGCAGGCUUGUUUCCCUUUGGAUGUUACUAAGAAGCAUCACCAGAUAGAUUCAUGAAUCACUUGCAGAUCUGUAUAGCAGCACUUUCUAUGUCUGAAGGCAUUCUGCCCUAAUAUUAUGAAGGAUACUACACAAUCAUUUUAAAUCUGGUGCCUUGGUACAAGUCUGCUCUCAUGAAAGAGCAUCAUGCCCCAAAACACAAGUUUUGGGGUGCCGCACGAGAUUCUGGACCCCGAAAAGCACUUGUCCUGACAGUUGAGGGGUAUGUCACUUUCCUGAAAAAUGUCGUCAAGGUUUCAGUAUCAUAAUUGGGCCUGAAACCUGACUGAAUUGGGCCCAGUUAUGAGUUUCCUCCAUGAAUGCCUGAAGCUAAUCUCCCACCACACUCUCAAGCAUCUUCUGCCCAAAGGGGAUAUUUGCCACUGGGCUUCUGGUUCCAGAGAGGUCCUCUUCAGGGUAUUUUUAUAUUUUGAAUUGCAUUUUUCUAUGGUGUACUUUAUUGCUCAUUUUUAGUGAUAGUGGCUUACCUAAGGGGUCUGCUUGCCUGGCCUGAAAGACAGGCUAAAAUAUUUAGAUAAAUAUGUAAAAUGAAUUCAGUCAUAUCUUCACCUCAAUUAUUAUUGUUGUCAAAUUGCAACUUUAUCACAAUGCCAUAUUUAGUACUAUUAUGAUCCGCCUAUAAUGAUACAAUGAUUGCAUUUUUUAAAAGAAUGGCUUUAUAGCUUUUUGUAUAAUGUGGACUCAGAAAGUACAUUAGGCAAAUGCAACGCUAGCUACUACUUGUGUUCGUAGCAGGAUCAGGGUUAGGAAUAUGCAUAGGAAGAAGAUUCAACAUUGAUAUAUGGCAAUUGCACCAAUAUGGCCCACAUCCUUCCCAGUCACUUCCAUAUGCAGCUGGAAUGCUAGUGCAGUACAAUAUGUGCAUUCUCCAUGGUGCUGAAUCAAUGGGAAAGGGACAUAAUGCAAGAAUCUAAUGAUUUAUGACCUUGUAACAAUAAAUUGCAAAAUUUAGAACCCUUGUACUUCCCAGAGUUAUUCAUGGUAUUUUUUAAAACACACACACACUUUAAUUCAGUGCUUUAAAAGCACAGAGCAAUGCUGUUGUUAAUCAAGGAACAGGCUGAUGGGAUUUACAGGCAUAAUAUACAACAUAGCUUCAUAGUCUCAGGCAACUCUGAAAUGGGAACUGACUGCCUGCUUGUGUGCCUUCCAGAAACCCUCCAGGGAGCUCCCUGAACAGUCUCCAAAGCUAUUGAAUGACUAGAUAAAUAAUAGCCUCUCAAAAACUUACUUGCUGCAGCAGUUGAUCUGGCUGGAGCUGAGGGAGUGAUUUGAGGUAGGUUGUAAGGAACCUUUAGAUGAAUUGUCAGUUUCUCACUUGAAAUCAAUAUGGCUGGCAUUCUGCAAUACUUUGGGAAUCUAUGACAUUCCAUUUCUUCUCCGCCUGCUUGUGUACAUCCAUUGUAGGGAGCUGCCCUAUUAAUGUGAUGCCACCAUGUAUCAUGUGGAGGAAGGAACAAGAAGGCUGUACCUUCUGCCCUUGCACCAUAGUCACAUCCCAUGUUGAUUGUGACAUAUGCACAUUGAACACUAAACUUUGUAAAAGGGCACAUCUGCAUGAGCAGCUCGCACAUAGUCGCUCCGCGAGAUCAGAACCCCCGAAUCACACAGAGGUCCUGAUUAGUUGGUAUAAUUAGUUGAUCUCUAAGGUGCUACUAGAAGGAAUCUUUAAAUUUUGUUUCAACUACGACAGACCAACGGGACGCGGGUGGCGCUGUGGGUCCCUUUACCUUUACCUUUACGACAGACCAGCAUGGCUACCUACCUGUAACUAGAACUAUGGAAGGCACCACACUGAGCCGCAUGAAAUGGAAGUCCACCAACCUUACCAGGAGCUCAUACCAAUAACAAACUUAGUUGGUCUCUAAGGUGCUACUGGAAGGAAUUUUUUUAUUUUGUUUUGACUACGACAGACCAACACAGCUACCUACCUGUAACUAGGUCCUGAUUGUGAGGACUGGCUACAUAUGAGCAGCUGUGCAGAUGUCGGCACCUCUUUGCUCAAUGUGUGGAGCUUUGGGGUAGGAUUGGCACUUGCAUGAUGUCAGUUCCAUAACCCUGCUCCACUCACACUGGAGAGAAAGCCGGAAUAUGGCUAUUGUCUCCUGCGCAUAUAAGCAAAAUUUACAGUGCAAUCCUGGUCAUAGCUGUGUAGAAGUUGAUUGCAGCCAUAGUAAGGUUGUCUGACAGGAGGUGCAUAUCUUUAUUUUAUUUUUUUAUUUGCUAAUUAAAUUUAUACCUUGACAUUUCUCCCAAAGGAACACAUGAACGCAUAGACUAAGGUAGAAAAACAAUAGCCCUAUGAUUUCUCCUCCUUCUUUCUAGACAGUAAGAAUGAUCCAAAUAUUUCAGAGCUGUCAGUUAUUCCACUAAUUACAAAAUUCACUGUUGUGCUAAACCAUUUUAAAUUGUGUCAUUUCUAAUCUGAUGUAUCUAUCCAUCGUUUUCACCUCUGUUAGUUACUAUGGGUUGUCUGCAAUGCUAGUUCUACUCAGAGUAGAAUUAUGGAAGUUAAUGGAUGUGACUAAUUUAGGUGCAUUAAUUUCAAUGGGUCUACUCUCAGCCAAAUUUAGUUGGCUACAAUCCUAGGCAUUCCUCUCCUCAUAAAAGUCCUUAUGUUCAGGUCAAAAUGGGACUGAGACACUGAAAUUGCAAUAAGUUUCCCAGCAUCUUAAAAAUAAUAAUAAUAACUGGCUUCUCCUUGAAGGAUUACUUCAUCUUCAGCCAAUAACCUCUUGUCUGAGCCGGAUGCUCACCAUGGAAUCUGUAUGAUAGUGGUAUAAUCUUUAUUCUAUCAUAGCCCUGUAUGCCUAUAAUUAAGCUGAGGGCUUAUGAUUCAGUGGUUCAGCUUUGUUUGUUCUUAGUGAACUGUGUGGAACUCUCUGGAGGAAGCAUUUUUGCUGCUUGUGCGAUUAAAGUUAUAUAUAUUCCUUCUGAAUUCUCUUCUCACAUAAUGUCAAGUGCACUCUUUUGAAAAAUGGAUAAUCUAUACAGUGAAUUUUUAUAGGCAGGAUCCAUUUUUAAAAGUCUAAGAUAAAAGCAAGGAACUGAGUAGAAGUAAAAAGAGGAACGGGGAAACAAAGAGCCAAAAUAAAGUACAUUUAUUUUAUGGCAGUGUGCAGUGCAAACAGAAUAUAUGCUAUUUUUUACUAGAGUAUGUACUGCUAGAAAAAUGACUGUGGUUGGAAUGAUAGGCCAUGGGAAUGAAUUUUUAGACUUUACAUUCUAACAGGAAAAGGAGGCUGUGGUAUCCCCAAACUGGCCUUCAACUAAGGUUUCGUACCCUUGCCAAUCUUCCAAAUAGGGAUGUCAGAGAAUUUCAACAAAAGCGCCCCUCUGAAGUUUCUAUAGGAGCUAGUACAUCACCCCUGCUUCAAGCAGGUGUGAUCUCAGGGCACCCCAUUAGAGGAGUCUAGAUGGAAGCCUAUGUCCAGAAGCCAAGUAUGGGGCAGAUGGCCCAUAGAGGUUCCAGUAGCAUCUGAGGGGGCACCUUGGUAGACCCACAUCUUGAGGAUGUCUUACAAUCCCAGGCAUGACCCUGUUCAAGCAUCUGCCCUCCAUGUGGAGGCUGGAAAUGGAUAUAAAUCCAAGGCCUGAACCAAAAACCUACCUACAUCUGCAAUCAAUAAAGUUGUAGCCAAUUUUUUAACCCCAGAAUGUUGCCUUGUCCAGUUCAUUACACCUUUCUCUGUCUAGGCUUUCGUUCCCUGGGGCAGAGGUCACUGUGAGUGGGUCUGCAAUGAGAUAGUACACACAACUAGGACACACACAACCCCCCCUGUAAAUUGUCAUACAGUUUGAAGCCAUAUCUGCUUGACAUGUGCACAACAACAAUGCCGAAGCUUCUAUGGGAUUGAGGGGAGCAUCUCUUGAAAAGCAUAUUUGGUGAGACAUAUUUUGUUCUGACCAAGGUAGGAAGGGAAAAGGUCAGCUUUCACUUCCCACCCACCAAAGGGUUGUUGGAAUAGGAGACAGCUACAUAGAGGAACAGAGGGAAUCUGCUCACCUAUAAAUGCAGUUACAACUGACCAGUGCUAUUUUUCUAGAAAAUGAGGUGCCAGAACUCACUAUGAAUGCCUCCAUUGUUCUCUUAGAAUGCCAAUGGCACCCACCUGAGAGGUGCCAGAACUGGAUUCUGGCAAGUUCCAUCUGGAAAAAAAGACCUGCAACUGACAUAGAUCCACUAUGUUGAUGUAUCACCAAGUUCCACCAACACACAGGUAACUUAGCUGCUCUUCUUCAUGAUAAUUUAUUAUUGUUGUUGUUGUUAACAUUCACGAGUGGCUUAGACUCAUAGAACUGUAGCGUUGGAAGGGACCUGAGGGUCAUCUAAUCCAAGCUCCCGAAAUGCAGGCAUCUCAGCUAAAGCAUCAAUGACAGAUGGCCAUCCAACCUCAGCUUAAAAACCUUCAAGGAAGGAGAGUCUACAACCUUCCAAGGGAAUUUGUUCUACUGUCGAACUGCUCUUACUGUCGGAAAGUUAUUUCUGAUGUUUAGUCGGAAUCUCCUUUCUUGUAACUACGUGCUUACUACAAAGCAUACCUCAAAGUAGGACAUACAGUCAUACCUUGGUUUUCAAACGCAUUGGGAGUCUAAUGUUUUGGCUCCCGAAUGAUCAAAAAUCGGAAGUGAUUGUUCCGGUUUUCAAAUGUUCUUUGGAACCUGAACAUCCAACACGACUUCCACAGCUUCCGAUUGGAAGCCGCGUCUUGGUUUCCGAAUGUUUUGGAAGUCGAACAGAAUUCCGGAAUGGAUUCCGUUUGACUUCUGAGGUACCACUGUAACUGAAAAACACACACAUAAGAGUUU